GGUCAAGUGAAGAAGCGCAUACGGUGGAUGCCUUGGCAGUCAGAGGCGAUGAAAGACGUGGUAGCCUGCGAAAAGCUUCGGGGAGUCGGCAAACAGACUUUGAUCCGGAGAUGUCUGAAUGGGGGAACCCAGCCAUCAUAAGAUGGUUAUCUUGUACUGAAUACAUAGGUGCAAGAGGCGAACCAGGGGAACUGAAACAUCUAAGUACCCUGAGGAAAAGAAAUCAACCGAGAUUCCCUUAGUAGUGGCGAGCGAACGGGGACUAGCCCUUAAGUGGCUUUGAGAUUAGCGGAACGCUCUGGAAAGUGCGGCCAUAGUGGGUGAUAGCCCUGUACGCGAAAAUCUCUUAGUCAUGAAAUCGAGUAGGACGGAGCACGAGAAACUUUGUCUGAAUAUGGGGGGACCAUCCUCCAAGGCUAAAUACUACUGACUGACCGAUAGUGAACCAGUACCGUGAGGGAAAGGCGAAAAGAACCCCGGAGAGGGGAGUGAAAUAGAACCUGAAACCGUAUGCGUACAAGCAGUGGGAGCCUACUUGUUAGGUGACUGCGUACCUUUUGUAUAAUGGGUCAGCGACUUAUAUUCAGUGGCGAGCUUAACCGAAUAGGGGAGGCGUAGCGAAAGCGAGUCUUAAUAGGGCGUUUAGUCGCUGGGUAUAGACCCGAAACCGGGCGAUCUAUCCAUGGGCAGGUUGAAGGUUAGGUAACACUGACUGGAGGACCGAACCGACUACCGUUGAAAAGUUAGCGGAUGACCUGUGGAUCGGAGUGAAAGGCUAAUCAAGCUCGGAGAUAGCUGGUUCUCCUCGAAAGCUAUUUAGGUAGCGCCUCAUGUAUCACUGUAGGGGGUAGAGCACUGUUUCGGCUAGGGGGUCAUCCCGACUUACCAAACCGAUGCAAACUCCGAAUACCUACAAGUGCCGAGCAUGGGAGACACACGGCGGGUGCUAACGUCCGUCGUGAAAAGGGAAACAACCCAGACCGUCAGCUAAGGUCCCAAAGUUAUGGUUAAGUGGGAAACGAUGUGGGAAGGCUUAGACAGCUAGGAGGUUGGCUUAGAAGCAGCCACCCUUUAAAGAAAGCGUAAUAGCUCACUAGUCGAGUCGGCCUGCGCGGAAGAUGUAACGGGGCUCAAACCAUACACCGAAGCUACGGGUAUCACUUAGGUGAUGCGGUAGAGGAGCGUUCUGUAAGCCUGUGAAGGUGAGUUGAGAAGCUUGCUGGAGGUAUCAGAAGUGCGAAUGCUGACAUGAGUAACGACAAUGGGAGUGAAAAACUCCCACGCCGAAAGACCAAGGUUUCCUGCGCAACGUUAAUCGACGCAGGGUUAGUCGGUCCCUAAGGCGAGGCUGAAAAGCGUAGUCGAUGGAAAACAGGUUAAUAUUCCUGUACUUCUAGUUAUUGCGAUGGAGGGACGGAGAAGGCUAGGCCAGCUUGGCGUUGGUUGUCCAAGUUUAAGGUGGUAGGCUGAGAUCUUAGGUAAAUCCGGGAUCUUAAGGCCGAGAGCUGAUGACGAGUUGCCUUUAGGCGACGAAGUGGUUGAUGCCAUGCUUCCAAGAAAAGCUUCUAAGCUUCAGAUAACUAGGAACCGUACCCCAAACCGACACAGGUGGUUGGGUAGAGAAUACCAAGGCGCUUGAGAGAACUCGGGUGAAGGAACUAGGCAAAAUGGCACCGUAACUUCGGGAGAAGGUGCGCCGGUGAGGGUGAAGGACUUGCUCCGUAAGCCCAUGCCGGUCGAAGAUACCAGGCCGCUGCGACUGUUUAUUAAAAACACAGCACUCUGCAAACACGAAAGUGGACGUAUAGGGUGUGACGCCUGCCCGGUGCCGGAAGGUUAAUUGAUGGGGUUAGCUAACGCGAAGCUCUUGAUCGAAGCCCCGGUAAACGGCGGCCGUAACUAUAACGGUCCUAAGGUAGCGAAAUUCCUUGUCGGGUAAGUUCCGACCUGCACGAAUGGCGUAACGAUGGCGGCGCUGUCUCCACCCGAGACUCAGUGAAAUUGAAAUCGCUGUGAAGAUGCAGUGUAUCCGCGGCUAGACGGAAAGACCCCGUGAACCUUUACUAUAGCUUUGCACUGGACUUUGAAUUUGCUUGUGUAGGAUAGGUGGGAGGCUUUGAAGCGUGGACGCCAGUUCGCGUGGAGCCAUCCUUGAAAUACCACCCUGGCAACUUUGAGGUUCUAACUCAGGUCCGUUAUCCGGAUCGAGGACAGUGUAUGGUGGGUAGUUUGACUGGGGCGGUCUCCUCCUAAAGAGUAACGGAGGAGUACGAAGGUGCGCUCAGACCGGUCGGAAAUCGGUCGUAGAGUAUAAAGGCAAAAGCGCGCUUGACUGCGAGACAGACACGUCGAGCAGGUACGAAAGUAGGUCUUAGUGAUCCGGUGGUUCUGUAUGGAAGGGCCAUCGCUCAACGGAUAAAAGGUACUCCGGGGAUAACAGGCUGAUACCGCCCAAGAGUUCAUAUCGACGGCGGUGUUUGGCACCUCGAUGUCGGCUCAUCACAUCCUGGGGCUGAAGCCGGUCCCAAGGGUAUGGCUGUUCGCCAUUUAAAGUGGUACGCGAGCUGGGUUUAGAACGUCGUGAGACAGUUCGGUCCCUAUCUGCCGUGGACGUUUGAGAUUUGAGAGGGGCUGCUCCUAGUACGAGAGGACCGGAGUGGACGAACCUCUGGUGUUCCGGUUGUCACGCCAGUGGCAUUGCCGGGUAGCUAUGUUCGGAAAAGAUAACCGCUGAAAGCAUCUAAGCGGGAAACUUGCCUCAAGAUGAGAUCUCACUGGAGCCUUGAGCUCCCUGAAGGGCCGUCGAAGACUACGACGUUGAUAGGUUGGGUGUGUAAGCGCUGUGAGGCGUUGAGCUAACCAAUACUAAUUGCCCGUGAGGCUUGACCAU
rnacentral:rRNA from 1 species